AACUUAGCCAGUGCAAGUUCAGAAAGCUUUAACCCCACUGGGAUCCUGCCGCAGGGAAAGUUCAAGCAGCCUGUUCUGUUUAAUUGUGCCUAGAAAAAGGUGGCGUGGACCCACUGGUUGCCACGUGUCGAGUCUUGUCAUCCCAUCAUCUCUGCAGAAGCUGCUUCUCAUCCUGUGCCCUGCAGGAGCCCUCAUCAUAGGCCAAGCCCCCGCUGAGCUGGCACUGUAAAGACACGGUCAUUGCCCCAAGGAACUUGCAAGCCUGAGAAGCAUCUUGCACAGGGUCACACAAUGAGCCUCUUCACAGCUGGAAAUACACCAACACAAGGAGAAGAAGGGGCAAGUGUAAGGGGAGACCUGCCUGACUCAGACCCAGCUGAAGAGGAGGAGGAGGCAGCAUGGUGGGGAAGGGCUUUCCACAUCCAGCUCCUGGCUGCCAGGUCAUUAUUAUCAACUCGUGCGCCUGUAAGUGUUCUUUCUGAACAGGGACCUGGGAGCUGGGAGUGCAGUUCAGCUGAGUGUAUUAUUGGAUUAUCAGCUGAUUAGAGCUGUUAAGAAUCCACUCUUGAAUAAUAAACA